UUGUGGCUGGGCACAGUGGCGCAUGCCUGUAAUCCCAGCACUUUGGGAGGUGGAGGUGGAUGGAUCACUUGAGCCCAGGAGUUCAAGACCAGCCUGGCCAAAACAUGGUAAAACACCAUCUCGAUUAAAAAAAAAAAACAAAAAACAAAAUUAACCAGGCGUGUGCGGUGGAUUGCAGCAUGCGUGGAGGGCACCCAGGUCCUCAUGGUCCCCUCGUGGG
rnacentral:lncRNA from 1 species